CUGGCUCAGAACGAACGCUGGCGGCAGGCCUAACACAUGCAAGUCGAGCGAGAACUUCGGUUCUAGCGGCGGACGGGUUAGUAACGCGUGGGAACGUGCCCUUCACUACGGAAUAGUCCCGGGAAACUGGGUUUAAUACCGUAUACGCCCUUCGGGGGAAAGAAUUUCGGUGAAGGAUCGGCCCGCGUUAGAUUAGAUAGUUGGUGGGGUAACGGCCUACCAAGUCUACGAUCUAUAGCUGGUUUUAGAGGAUGAUCAGCAACACUGGGACUGAGACACGGCCCAGACUCCUACGGGAGGCAGCAGUGGGGAAUCUUAGACAAUGGGCGCAAGCCUGAUCUAGCCAUGCCGCGUGAGUGAUGAAGGCCUUAGGGUCGUAAAGCUCUUUCGCCAGGGAUGAUAAUGACAGUACCUGGUAAAGAAACCCCGGCUAACUCCGUGCCAGCAGCCGCGGUAAUACGGAGGGGGUUAGCGUUGUUCGGAAUUACUGGGCGUAAAGCGCGCGUAGGCGGAUUGGAAAGUUGGGGGUGAAAUCCCAGGGCUCAACCCUGGAACUGCCUCCAAAACUAUCAGUCUAGAGUUCGAGAGAGGUGAGUGGAACUCCGAGUGUAGAGGUGAAAUUCGUAGAUAUUCGGAAGAACACCAGUGGCGAAGGCGGCUCACUGGCUCGAUACUGACGCU
rnacentral:rRNA from 1 species